UUGACAGUUAAAAAGUAUUCUAUAACAUCUACAAGUACAGGUUCAAGGUUUUUUGUCAUCAAGGUAAUCAUGAAUUUUUGCUUCCUUGCAUGUGAGUCCAUGUACAAGCUAGCAAAACUCAAUUUGAUAAUGACAGCAGAGUGAUUUCCAGGAAUGGGAGGCAAUGCUUUCUCUGCCCUCUGUAUCUUGCCUGCUCUCCUUCUUGUACUUAAUAUAACUUCAUGGUGGGAUGGGAAGCAUGUAGCAGGCUUCAAGAGAUUAAAUAAACAUGCUGCACAUGGCCUUAUGAUGACAUUUCAUGUUUUCUACAUUACAGAUAUCACAAAACCAUAAACUAAUUGAGGGCAGAGUGAGCUUCUGGAGAUCACUGUUCAACCAUCCCUCCUGAAGCAUCAGUUAGAGAAGGUUGCCCAGGACUGUAUCACUGGAUUUUGAAUAUCCCCAAGAAUAAACUCCAUAGCCUCUCUGAACUACCUGUCUCAUCUCUCAUCCUCUCACUGGGUACCACUGAGAAGAGCCUGGCUGCAUCAUUUUUGCAUCUUCCCAUCAGUGCUGUGACACCUGGAAACUGUCUGAAGGAAAACAAUUCUGAUACUUGUGCAGCAUUUGGUGUCUAUUGUAAACACGAGUACAGCACAAAGGUCGACCAAUUUGCACCCAGUAGCAUCUGAUAAGCAUCUCCUAAAUCAGAGCAAUGCACCUGCCAAGUGCUACAGGAGUAAGAUGGUAAACCUGCCUAAAGAAAUCUGUACAGGACAGAUGGAAUCUUUAACUUAUCUGCAGUUGCUCCACUGGCUAGUCUUGUACUAUCUGCUAAUGUCUGUCCUAACCAGAAAUAUGCUGAUUUCCAGCCACACCUUUAAUACAAAAUGUCUUAAGUGUAUAAAAAUCAAGCUUCCAUUUUUAACAUUUUACUCCUGCUGCUUGGGAUCCUUAGACCUCAACUAGCGUUGAGUCUGAUUAUAUGCAGGGUGAGUCCCAAAAUACAGCUAAAUCCAGAGGCAUUUCUGUAAUCUGGUUCAGCAUAAGAGCUUGAUGGUAAGCUUUCCUAGUUUGGUUUGUUCUUUUUCCCCCCCCAUACCUUGUAAGCCAUGCUGGUACACAUGCACUCACUUAAUAAAAGUUAGCAACAAAGUUCUGUGUUAAAGCAUGAGUUACAGUCAUGAGUCAUCUUGCUUCUGUGUUCCAGAAAGCAGCCUUCCUAGUAUAGACAGAGAAAUGUUUUAAGUGCUGUGUGUUACACAAAACAAGGAUUGGCUUUUUUUUCUGACCAGGGGUAAGGAUUGUACAAUUUGGUUUUGCACAGAAUAAUGUUGCCUAGAAAGGAUAUUUCUUAACAGGCAAAAUUAAUGUAUUUAUAUGGCAGCCACAUGUAUUAACAGAAUAAACUUUCCUUCAGGGCUACUUGAAUGAAAUGUGAAAUUCUAAAGACAGGUUCUUUGGAGCAUGAUAUCUCAAGAGUUGAGCAAAUGAGCCAUUUUAGUUACUAUCUAUUUCACCGAAGUUACUCCAAAAUGCUUAGCAAACUGGGCUUAAAUUGUUCUCCCCACAUUUCAACUGUAGUUAAAUUAUAACAUUCUUUAUAAUACUUUGAAUUACUGUUGGCGUCCCAGUUCAGUAUGCAGAGAAGACAAUCAGGUUGUAAUCACUAUUAUACUCCAAAGGUU